GACGAACGCUGGCGGCGUGCUUAACACAUGCAAGUCGAGCGGUAAGGCCCUUUCGGGGGUACACGAGCGGCGAACGGGUGAGUAACACGUGGGUGACCUGCCCUCAGCUCUGGGAUAAGCCUGGGAAACUGGGUCUAAUACUGGAUAUGACUCCACGGUGCAUGUCGGUGGGGUGGAAAGCCUUGUGCGGCUGAGGAUGGGCCCGCGGCCUAUCAGCUUGUUGGUGGGGUGAGGCCUACCAAGGCGACGACGGGUAGCCGGCCUGAGAGGGCGACCGGCCACACUGGGACUGAGACACGGCCCAGACUCCUACGGGAGGCAGCAGUGGGGAAUCUUGCGCAAUGGGCGAAAGCCUGACGCAGUGACGCCGCGUGAGGGAUGACGGCC
rnacentral:rRNA from 1 species